ACCAAGGAGUCUGACAAGUGUGCAAGUCAGUGGGCAAGUAAACCCGUAAGGCGAAUGAAGUUGAUUGGUGGGAUCCCCUUGUGGGUUGCACCGCCGAUCGACCCUGAUCUUCUAUGAUGGGUUCGAGUGAGAGCAUACCUAUCAGGACCCGAAAGAUGGUGAACUAUGCUUGAGCAGGGUGAAGCCAGAGGAAACUCUAGUGGAGUCCCACAGCGAUACUGACGUGCAUAUCAUUCGUCUAACUUGGGUAUAGGGGCGAAAGACUAAUCGAACCGUCUAGUAGUUGGUUCCCUCUGAAGUUUCCCUCAGGAUAGGUGGAGCCCAUGGGUGAGUUCUAUCAGGUAAAGCCAGUGAUUAGAGGCAUCAGGGGCCCAAUGACCUCGACCUAUUCUCAAACUUUAAAUAGGUAGGAUGGUGUGGCUUCUUUGUUGAGCCACGCCACAGAAUCAAGAGCUCCAAGUGGGCCAUUUUAGGUAAGCAGAACUGGCGAUGCGGGAUGAACUGGAAGCUGGGUUAUGGUGCCCCACUGCGCUAACCUAGACCCCACAAAGGGUGUUGGUCUAUUUAGAGAGUAGGACGGUGGUCGUGGAAGUCGAAAUCCGCUAAGGAGUGUGUAACAACUCACCUGUCGAAUCAACUAGCCACGAAAAUGGAUGGUGCUAAAGCGCACGACCUCUACCCAGUCGUCGGGGCAAGGGCCAAGCCUCGAUGAGUAGGAGGGAGCAGUAGUCGCUGCAAAACCUCGGGUGUGAGCCCGGGUGGAGCGGUCGUCGGUGUAGAUCUUGGUGGUAGUAGCAAAUACUCAAAUGAGAAAUUUGAAGGCCGAAGAGGGGAAAGGUUCCAUGUGAACGGCACUUGCACAUGGGUUAGUCGAUCCUAAGGGAUGGGGGAAGCCCAUCUGCUAGCACUCUAAGCGCACACUCUGAAAGGGAAUUGGGUUACAAUUCCUGAACUGGGACAUGGCGGUUGACGAUAACAUCAGAAAGUCUAGAGGCGUCGGCGGGGGGCCCGGAAAGAUUUAUCUUUUCUGUUUAACAGCUUGCCCACCCAGGAAACGGCUCAGCUGGAGGUAGGGUCCAGCGGUUGGAAGAGCACCGCACGUCGCGUGGUGUCUAGUGUGCCCUAGUCGGCCCGUGAAUAUCUAGAGGACCGAGUGCCUCCCAAGCCCGGUCGUACUCAUAACUACAUCAGGUCUCCAAGGUGAACAACCUCUAGUC
rfam:Lupinus angustifolius cultivar Tanjil chromosome LG20, whole genome shotgun sequence.